rnacentral:rRNA from 1 species
GGGGAAUGUCUUAACCAUGCAAGUCGAGCGGCAGCGCGGGGCACCUGGCGGCGAGCGGCGAACGGGUGAGUAAUGCAUCGGAACAUGUCCAUUCGUGGGGGAUAGCCCGGCGAAAGCCGGAUUAAUACCGCAUACGCCCCGAGGGGGAAAGCGGGGGGACUUCGCAAGAGGCCUCGCGCGAAAUGGGGGUUUUUUUUUUGGGGGCCGAUGUCCGAUUUAGCUAGUUGGCGGGGUAAAGGCCCACCAAGGCGAUGAUCGGUAGCUGGUCUGAGAGGAUGAUCAGCCACACUGGGACUGAGACACGGCCCAGACUCCUACGGGAGGCAGCAGUGGGGAAUUUUGGACAAUGGGGGCAACCUGAUCCAGCCAUUCCGCGUGAGUGAAGAAGGCUUCGGGUUGUAAAGGCUCUUUUGGUCCGGAACGAAACGGGUUGCGUGAACAGCGCCGCUACUGACGGUACCGGAAGAUAAGCACCGGUAAUACGUGCCAGCAGCCGCGGU